UACGUAGGGUGCGAGCGUUGUCCGGAAUUAUUGGGCGUAAAGGGCUCGUAGGCGGUUUGUCGCGUCGGGAGUGAAAUCCACUGGCUUAACUGGUGGCUUGCUUUCGAUACGGGCAGACUGGAGGUAUGCAGGGGGAGAACGGGAAUUCCUGGUGUAGCGGUGAAAUGCGCAGAUAUCAGGAGGAACACCGGUGGCGAAGGCGGUUCUCUGGGCAUGUCCUGACGCUGGAGGAGCGAAAGCGUGGGGAGCAAACAGG
rnacentral:rRNA from 1 species